rnacentral:rRNA from 1 species
GGUAUGAAUGGCAAGACGGAACUACACUGUCUCCUUUUUCUAGAUCUGAACUUCACAUUCCCGUGAAGAGGCGAGAAUAAUUUCGUUAGACGAGAAGACCCUGUCGAGCUUAAACGAAACCCUAGUAUUUAAUCUCUUUGUACUUACUCUAAUUUAUAAUUCUAAACAAAUCCAAAGAAUAAAUAAUCAGGCUUAGUUUUGGUUGGGGCAACCACGGAGAAACUAAAUCCUCCGUUAACAAAUUUAACAUAAGACUCACAAGUCUAAUAUUACUUUAUAGUAAGUGAAUGAUCCACUCCGGUGAUCAAAGGAAAAAGUUACCGCAGGGAUAACAGCGUUAUCUUUUUUGAGAGUUCAUAUUGACAAAAAGGUUUGCGACCUCGAUGUUGGAUCGGGACAUCCUAAGGGUGCAGAAGCUUUUAAGGGUUGGUCUGUUCGACCCAUUAAAGUCCU